CUUGGUCAUUUAGAGGAAGUAAAAGUCGUAACAAGGUCUCCGUUGGUGAACCAGCGGAGGGAUCAUUACCGAGUUUACAACUCCCAAACACCCUGUGAACUUAUACCAUUUACUGUUGCUUCGGCGGGUCAUGGCCCCGGGGAAGGACAGCGGUCGCCGUCAGGCCUCAGCUGCCCGCCCCCGGAAACAGGCGCCCGCCGGGGAACUCAAACUCUUCUGUAUUUCUUUAUCUAAUAUAUACUGUCUGAGUAAAAACUAAAAUGAAUCAAAACUUUCAACAACGGAUCUCUUGGUUCUGGCAUCGAUGAAGAACGCAGCGAAAUGCGAUAAGUAAUGUGAAUUGCAGAAUUCAGCGAAUCAUCGAAUCUUUGAACGCACAUUGCGCCCGCCAGUAUUCUGGCGGGCAUGCCUGUUCGAGCGUCAUUUCAACCCUCAAGUCCCCUGUGGACUCGGUGUUGGGGACCGGCGAGACAGCCGCGGAUCUUCUUCCGCAGCGAGUCGCCGCCCCCCAAAUGACUUGGCGGCCUCGUCGCGGCCCUCCUCUGCGUAGUAUAGCACACCUCGCAACAGGAGCCCGGCGAAUGGCCACUGCCGUAAAACCCCCCAACUUUUUCAGAGUUGACCUCGAAUCAGGUAGGAAUACCCGCUGAACUUAAGCAUAUCAAUAAGCGGAGGAAAAGAAACCAACAGGGAUUGCCCCAGUAACGGCGAGUGAAGCGGCAACAGCUCAAAUUUGAAAUCUGGCCCCCAGGGUCCGAGUUGUAAUUUGCAGAGGAUGCUUUUGGCAAGGUGCCUUCCGAGUUCCCUGGAACGGGACGCCAUAGAGGGUGAGAGCCCCGUCUGGUUGGAUACCGAGCCUCUGUAAAGCUCCUUCGACGAGUCGAGUUGUUUGGGAAU
rnacentral:sRNA from 1 species